rnacentral:rRNA from 1 species
UACGUAGGGUGCGAGCGUUACUCGGAAUUACUGGGCGUAAAGAGUGCGUAGGCGGUUCUUGAAGUCCGCUGUGAAAGCCCCGGGCUUAACCUGGGAAUGGCAGUGGAAACUGGGGGACUUGAAUUGAGCAGAGGGGGGUGGAAUGCCGCGUGUAGCAGUGAAAUGCGUAGAGAUGCGGCGGAACACCGAUGGCGAAGGCAGCCCCCUGGGCUUAAAUUGACGCUGAGGCACGAAAGCGUGGGGAGCAAACAGG